rnacentral:tRNA from 1 species
GCCCCGGUAGCUCAGUUGGGUGGAGCGGCCGCUUGGUAAGCGGCAGGUCCCGAGUUCAAAUCUCGGCCGGGGCU